UCCUACGGGAGGCAGCAGUAGGGAAUAUUGCUUAAUGGGCGCAAGCCUGAAGCAGCAACGCCGCGUGUGCGAUGAAGGCCUUCGGGUUGUAAAGCACUUUUGGCAGGGACGAGGAAGGACGGUACCUGCAGAAUAAGCCUCGGCUAACUACGUGCCAGCAGCCGCGGUAAAACGUAGGAGGCGAGCGUUAUCCGGAUUUACUGGGUGUAAAGCGCGUGCAGGCGGUUUGUUAAGUUGGAUGUGAAAGCUCCUGGCUCAACUGGGAGAGGUCGUUCAAGACUGGCAGACUGGAGAGCAGUAGGGGAAGGUGGAAUUCCGGGUGUAGUGGUGAAAUGCGUAGAUAUCCGGAGGAACACCAGUGGCGAAAGCGGCCUUCUGGACUGCAUCUGACGCUCAGACGCGAAAGCUAGGGGAGCAAACGGGAUUAGAUACCCCGGUAGC
rnacentral:rRNA from 1 species